rnacentral:rRNA from 1 species
CCUACGGGAGGCUGCAGUGGGGGAUAUUGCACAAUGGAGGAAACUCUGAUGCAGCGACGCCGCGUGAGGGAAGACGGUCUUCGGAUUGUAAACCUCUGUCUAUGGGGAAGAAAAUGACGGUACCCAAAGAGGAAGCUCCGGCCAACUACGUGCCAGCAGCCGCGGUAAUACGUAUGGAGCGAGCGUUGUACGGAAUUACUGGGUGUAAAGGGAGCGUAGGCGGGCGAGAAAGUUGAAGGGUAAAUCUACCGGCUUAACUGGUAGCUGCGUUGCAAACUUCUUGUCUUGAGUGAAGUAGAGGCAGGCGGAAUUCCUAGUGUAGCGGUGAAAUGCGUAGAUAUUAGGAAGAACACCGGUUGCGAAGGCAGCCUGCUGGGCUUUAACUGACGCUGAGGCUCGAAAGCGUGGGGAGCAAACAGGAUUAGAUACCCUUGUAGUC